UUGUGUAACAUAGUGUAGUAAAAUGCUUCAAUUCAACGUAUCCACCACCUGUAUCAACAUAUAGAAUAUGUCUAGCGCCCCAGAGGACUUCCUGUGCCUCUUGGAACCUCAUCCACCACCACCACCACUACAGUUCUAUUUGCUGUACAUGUUUUCAAAUUUCAUAUAAAAGGAAUUCUACCGGAUAGAGGUUUUCUGUGUGUGACCCCCUUAGCAGUACGUGUGGAUAGUUUCAUAUUUUCAAAUAGAAGAAACAUAAGAACUGGACGUCUAUAUGGAGAAAACUUUUUGCCUCAAAUUUUAAAAAAGAAAUGUGGAUUAUACAUGACCUAUAUAUGAUGUAUGAUACAAGCUGUGCCACAAGGAGAGAGUUCCUAACCCCACCAAUUUAAAAAAAGAAAAAACUCGUUGUACUUUUGUGAGUGAUAUGUUCUUAGAUUUCCCUUUAUUUUAAAUUUAAAUCCUGCUUUUCAGUUCCACAACCCUGCCAUCUUGGCAGUACAUGAAACUAGCAUUUGAAAAUGAUAGUGUUCUAAGAAGAAGUGACAUGUUAUAUGACUACACAAGUUCUGGUUUUCGUCUUAUAUUUAAACUCCCAUCUUUGAAACUAUGAAGAAGCUGCUUUUGUUUCUACACUGGUCCAUCUGGGGCUGCACAGCCCAUGGAAUGCCAUGGUGCAUCAAGAACUGUGUGUGAUUAUUGAGUACCUAACUGAGAUUGAGAGGCAUAACAUCUUCAAGGGAACACAUGCAGAUUUGGGGAGCUCUUUGAGCAUCUUCAUCCUCUCCCUUGACCCUACAAAGAAUAGACUGUACAAGUUUAGAGAGAGGAGAGUAGAUUUCAUGUGAUGCAUACAGAGAGAAAUGGACUGGACUUCUCAAUAGGAGCUCUGACAAUUAUAGACUCAUGAAACAAUAUUCCAGACUUGUGUGGAAGUACUUGUAAUUGUGGGAGACCAGAUAGGAAGAAUAAGGCCUAACUGGCCUCUCUGUGAGCACUACGGAGAAAGGCAGCGUGAGUGCAUGCUCCCAUGCUGCAGGAAAAAUUAAUCCACCUGUUGUUUACCCGGACAUGUACCAUGGAUGAUAGGAGGCAAAUGAAUCUUUUUUACUGUGAUGGCUUGUGCCCAUGUCUGAGUGAAUAAAAGGAGAGUGUGCCAGUUACUUGGGGCUCUUGGUUGAAGGGAGAGAAAAGCUCCCUGGCCCUCCACAUUUUAACCUUAUUCUGUGUCUCUUUGUGUUUCAUCCUUGUCAUUCUCUCAGGUAUCAGCUCUACCAAGACAAAUAUCAACCAGUUAUAAAACUGGAAUAAAAUCAUUUUCAAUCCCAAAAUGUUUCAACAAAUACAUACUCCAUGCAUUCUUUCUCCGGAAUUUAAUGGAGGAAUGUGUUCUUCCUAAGUGAGAAAUAAGCCAAGAAAAUUACCUUAAUCCAACUGUUCAUGAAUUAAAUAUCAAAGAAAACAGGAAUUUGACUAAUGCUUUGUGAUGCAGGGAUGUGAUCAAGGAACCCACAAUAAAAGAAAUGAGUGGAAUCACAAGCUGAUGGAUUGGGACAUAAACACGGAGAGCCGCAUUCAGAUAAACACCUCACUGACAUCAGCUGGAGGUGCGACGGAGCCCAGCCCUCACACAGCCACAGAAUCACCGAUUUCCCACCACCCACAGAUGAGACCUUUGUGGAGCCUGGGAGACCAGCUAAGAGUUUCCAGUACCCUGGUAGAACAAAAGAGUUUCACUUCACAUGUCUCCCGUGGGCAGCCUCACUGGGGCAAGGACAGCCCCUUGGCACAGGAGUGCCAGCCUUGUGUGAUGCUGCGUAGGACACUUGUCCUGCCCCGCAGAGCCCAGGAGGAUCUUCAGGGCCGACGGUCUGGGUGAACAGGGGCAGAGGCUGGCUGCAAACUGCUCAUCACAGCCCACAGGGCCUGCCAGGGAUCAGACUCCACUAGGAGGCCCCACUCCACGCUGUGCUCCCACCCAGAGCCCUGAAGACAGCACGAGGGUAUCACCAGCUGGCCUACUGCCAGGAUGGACAAGGGCACAAGACCACUGCCCUAGGGAAAGUACACUGGGGCCCUUAGUGUCCAGCCCAGCUCUGUGGGAGUUGGAGGCGGCACUCUGUCCUACAAUGUCCCACCCCAAAGGGACGGAGUGGAGCAGACGAACCCACAGCCAACAUCCAAGAAAGCCUUAGCGUCUGACUGGGGACAGGCUGACCAGUGCCAGGAGCCUUUCCUCUCCUGCAGCAAGUCUCCUGGGACGAGGAAGGUGCCAGUCUUGAUCUUUUCUAACAUUCUUCCGGGACUGAGCAGACGACCUCAGAAGCCACAGUAAUCCCUUCUGAGGGCAGCACCCAGCUUCUGAUUUCCUCAUGGGACCUAGAAGGCAUGGAACACCUGGCCAUGAGACCUGGAGCGGCCGUGUGCAUCAUGCGGUCCCUUAGGACCUGCUACUGUGUGUUCAGCACAAACACCCACUUGGCUGAGUGUCACAGCAGCCACCACAUGUGACUGGGACCAGGACCACAGCCUCUGAGCAGCAGUCAGGCUCCUGCAGUGCCCACAUCCCCAAAGCCCGCAGAGACGGGGCUCCCAGGGUUCCCUCACCGGCUGAGGGAAGAGAAAAAGAAUGGGUCUCUUGGCAGUGGGUGGACAGAAGUAGGCACCACCCUGCCACUAGACCACACGUGGCCCUUCCACUGAGAACCAAGAACACAUGGCCCCACUUAGGUCUCCAGUGACUCAUGGGCUGGACAGGACUAGGAGAGAACAAAUCACAAGACUGCUUAUGGGACCAGAGGGAAGACAGCAACUGCAAAUGCAGGAUGCUGAUAGGUUGUUGUGCAAGGGGGGGAUCAAAGUGUUUCAAUUUAAAAAUGUGUUACACUCAAGGACACAUUGGCACUAAUUCCCUCACAAUCCUCCCCUUGCUCCAAACACACUCAUCCCGUGUUCUUGGCAGUGUGCAUUUUACUGUGAAAAGCUUUUUAAACUAUAAACAUGUACUGUGUUCUUCCAACCACCCCCUGAAGAGUGCCUCUUGCCCUUGAAGGUAUGAGAAGGGUAGCGGUGAAAAUUGACCCCUCUUUUUUAUAUGUCUAUAUUUAAUUUUCUGAGAAAAUGCUAGCAGAGUAUUUUCCAAAUUUGAUGAAAAGCAUAAAAUUGCACAUCCACAAAGCUAAGCAGACUACAAGCAGGAAAAUUACAAAGGAAAUCACACCCAUGCACAUUACAGUCAAGCUGAGAAAAUGAAGAUAAAGAUCUUAAAAACAGCCAGAGAAAUUAUAUCUCACACACAAGAGGCAAUUACAUGAUUUUCCUUUUGGUGGUGCUCAGUAUUGAACCCAGGGCCUCACACAUGCUAGGCAGGUAUUCUACUACCAAGCUACAUCCCUGCUCUUUUUAUCUUAUUUUCAGCUAGGGUCUCACUAAGUUGCCCAGACUGACUUUGAACUUUUGAACCUCUUGCCUCUAGAGUCUCAGGUAUCUAGGAGUACCAGUGUGUUGCACCAUACCUGCUUGUAGCAACUGUACAUUUAUUUUUCACUGCUAUAUAGUGUUCUGCUUUGAGACUAUACCACAGUUUGUCCAUUUUACUAUUGGUAGAUGUGCCAUAAACAUCCUUGCAUGCAUUUUUUGGUGUACGUAUUUAUGCA